GUUUAAUAGUUCUUUAAUCUUAAUGCAUCACCUAACAAUUAGGGGUUUAAUCACUUGAAAAAGAUUUAUACCUAAUUUUAUGGAAUUCCAAUUCAACUCUUGAGUUUGAUUUAAUUGUUAUUAGUUUCAUGAAGUAUUUAAUUUAUUAGUGGAAUUCAUUACCUGAAUAUGCUUUGUCUUUAAUAAAUAUACCAAUUGUUUUAAUUCUAGUUUUUAAUAUUAGUUUAUUCUCAAAUUUCACUAUAUCCAAACUAAAUCUUGAUUGCUAGAUAUUAGUAUAUAAUUGAAAUUUAGUAUUCACAAUUAGUCCCAUUAGAACGAUACUCUUACUUAUUACUUUAUUACUUGAUACGAUUGAUGCACUUUAUUGUGUGGGGAUAGUGCGCAUCAUAAAUCGUCAUACGACCAAGCAAAUACUGAUUUUUUUUUUCUAAUAUUCUCUCUAAUUUUCUUUUCUC
rnacentral:lncRNA from 1 species